rnacentral:rRNA from 1 species
GAUGAACGCUGGCGGCGUGCCUAAUACAUGCAAGUCGAGCGAACGGACGAGAAGCUUGCUUCUCUGAUGUUAGCGGCGGACGGGUGAGUAACACGUGGAUAACCUACCUCUAAGACUGGGAUAAUUUCGGGAAACCGGAGCUAAUACCGGAUAAUAUUUUGAACCGCAUGGUUCAAAAGUGAAAGACGGUCUUGCUGUCACUUAUAGAUGGAUCCGCGCUGCAUUAGCUAGUUGGUAAGGUAACGGCUUACCAAGGCAACGAUGCAUAGCCAACCUGAGAGGGUGUUCGGCCACACUGGAACUGAGACACGGUCCAGACUCCUACGAGAGGCAGCAGGAGGGAAUCUUCCGCAAUGGGCGAAAGCCUGACGGAGCAACGCCGCGUGAGUGAUGAAGAUCUUCGGAUCGUAAAACUCUGUUAUUAGGGAAGAACAUAUGUGUAAGUAACUGUGCACAUCUUGACGGUACCUAAUCAGAAAGCCACGGCUAACUACGUG